rnacentral:lncRNA from 1 species
UCCGAGAUGGAAAUAUUCUCCCAUUUUCAAGACUAGCAGAACAUCCUGUAUCCUGGAUGAGAGCACCCAGCUCUUCUUUUCAAGCCAAGCCGUGAAAGCAAAGGAGAACCAAGCAGCAGCCAGGUUUUCGACGCUGAGUGUCCUGAAGAAGAUGCUGAGAUCAUGGCAAUCAGCAUUCACUGAGUGAGCGCCCACUGCAUGACAACCCAGGUGCUUCCUCAGAAAGCUGAUGAGUUGACUGGCAUCAGAGACUUUCCAAACCAAGGAGUUGGAUGGAAAGGACCACGAGGGAAAUUGGCUGCAUGCCCAAGAGAAGGCUUUGAAACAAUGCAAUCCCGUUUUCACAAUGUCCAUAAUGGAGAUGUGAUGUCCAAAUCUCCAGUGCCACUGUGCUUGCACGGGCAGAGCCCUGCCAGCUGUUCAGUCAGGCUGUGGCUGAAUUUGCCACAAGUGCAAGUCCUAGGAUUUGGAUUCAAGACGAGGAGUGGGACCUCAUCCCACAGAAAGCUUUUCCACCAAGCAAGCCUGGGGUGUCAGACUGGGAGCCUGUUUCUGUUUUCUACAUUGUAUUCAGCUCAAUCAAUCAUUCAGCAGCUUCCAUCAUCCUUAUUUUUCCUCUGUCUUUCCCAGUUAGACCUUGUUCUCUUUAGACUGGUGGUAGGUUUGUGCCUUGUACAGGGGGUGCUCAACUGAGCUGGGGACAUGAUGGCUGCUGUCACGCUGAUCAUAAUUUUCCUCAGAAAGGAAACAGCAAAUGCCUUUGUAUUUUGUUCUCCCACUAUUGUGCUCCCAGACCCCGUCUCCAAGGACAGGACCCCUCCCCUUUGCCUCCUUUUUAUGAUUUGCCUUGCCUUCCCCAAGCCCUGCUGCUGACUGCACUCUCACUGAUUAUUUUUUUUUUAGAGGCUGUAAACCUCAGCUCCAGCUCAGCUCGCAUUACUGUCAGAGAAGUAUCUCUUGGCUGUUUACAGAAGAGAAAAUGGAAAGAUGAGCAUUAUUUCAUGUGAAAUGUGGUAGAGAGCCUAUGCUGAGCUUCUUUGAGAGGCCUGAGGCUCCAGCUACCUGAAGAAGGCAGUGAAAGCUUCCGUCAUCUGGUGAUUCAGCUCUCCCUGCCACGGCUCUGGCCCUGCUCUGCGUGGGUGUCUCACAGCUCUCAUCAACUCUGAUUUUGAUGCAGACCAGGAGCUACUGGGCUGAUCGCCCAAGUUUACCUUGUAUGAAAGAGUUUGCUGGCUGUUCAGUUGUCUGGUGUUCUCUUGAAGAUGUAAAAUAAAUAAAUAAAUACAUACA